UACGGAGGGAUCCAAGCGUUAUCCGGAAUCAUUGGGUUUAAAGGGUCCGUAGGCGGUUUGGUAAGUCAGUGGUGAAAGCCCAUCGCUCAACGGUGGAACGGCCAUUGAUACUGCCAGACUUGAAUUAUUUAGGGAAGUAACUAGAAUAUGUAGUGUAGCGGUGAAAUGCUUUAGAGAUUUACAUGGAAUACCAAUUGCGAAGGCAGGUUUACUACUAAUGGAUUUGACGCUGGAUGGACGAAAGCGUGGGUAGCGAACAGG
rnacentral:rRNA from 1 species